AUUGAACGCUGGCGGCAGGCCUAACACAUGCAAGUCGAGCGGGGGUAGCAAUACCCUAGCGGCGAACGGGUGAGGAAUGCUUGGGAAUCUGCCUCGUAGUGGGGGAUGACGUUCCGAAAGGAACGCUAAUACCGCAUACGUCCUAACGGGAGAAAGGGGGGGGAUCUUCGGACCUCUCGCUAUGAGAUGAGCCCAAGCGGGAUUAGCUAGUUGGUGAGGUAAAGGCUCACCAAGGCUACGAUCCCUAGCUGGUCUGAGAGGAUGAUCAGCCACACUGGAACUGAGACACGGUCCAGACUCCUACGGGAGGCAGCAGUGGGAAUAUUGGACAAUGGGCGAAAGCCUGAUCCAGCCAUGCCCGCGUGUGUGAAGAAGGGA
rnacentral:rRNA from 1 species